rnacentral:lncRNA from 1 species
GGCUUUCUGACUUCUUCCGUACUCAGUCAGAAGAAGAGCGAGAAAAAGCGGAGAAAGCAACAGAGAAAGAAACUCAGUCUAAGCGGACUGAGAAAACUACCGAAAAAGAGAUCUCUGAGAGGAGAAGAAGAAAAGAACGAACUCCUCCCCCUAGGACCGACUCAUCUCCUCCGAGGAAGAGGAGACCCUCCCCCAGGCGACGAAGUCCUCUUCGUAAGAAGACUUAUUAUCCUGGGGAGUCCUCCCGGGGCCGUUUCAACUAUUCUUCCACCCGGGAGACGCAACUGCCGGGGUAUCAAGGUUCGCAUCCCCGGAACUAUGGGUCCAAAUUUCCC